rnacentral:misc_RNA from 1 species
AUGUCGUAACAAGGUUUCCGUACGUGAACCUGCGGAAGGAUCAUUUACACGGUUAGAUUCACAAAAUUUGGAUUGUCAGUCUUAUUUUUCUUUAAUCGCCGCGCACCUUCUUAAACACGGACCUUUUCGGAAACCAGGCCAAUCGAGAGCAAGCUGCUUGAUUGAUGGGUGGCCUUCUCUCGGUUAACAUAAGACUUGGUUUUUGAAUCUCUGACGGUCCGUCAUCAAUCACCUGGAGCUUUUCAAACACGCCUGUUUCGUACUACUAGUCUGAAUCGUUCGUCUUUUUCUUUUCUUCUUUUGUGGAAGAAAAGAGAGAGAGAAGAGAUUAAGAGAGAGGGAUGGGAAAAACAAAAAAACAAAACUUUGAACAACUCUUAGCAACGGAUAUCUCGGUUCUC